UACGUAGGCAGCAAGCGUUGUUCGGAGUUACUGGGCGUAAAGAGUGCGUAGGCGGUCCUGUAAGUUUGGUGUGAAAUCUCCCGGCUCAACUGGGAGGGUGCGCCGAAGACUGCAGGGCUUGAGUAUGGGAGAGGUAAGCGGAAUUCCUGGUGUAGCGGUGAAAUGCGUAGAUAUCAGGAGGAACACCAAUUGCGAAGGCAGCUCGCUGGGACGUUACUGACGCUGAGACGCGAAAGCGUGGGGAGCAAACAGG
rnacentral:rRNA from 1 species